AAAAUUAUAACGCGAUUAGGGUUUUCUUUCUUCCUUCAUCCUCCCAUUUCGUUUCCUCUCUCCUUCAGCCGCCGAAACCUCUGUCUGCGCCAAACCUCUCUCUCAGCCAUCCUCUCUCUCACCCAAACUUCUCUCUCAGCCUUCCUCUCUCUCAGCCAUCCUCUUUAUCCUUCAGCCGUCGCGCCGCCGAAGCUCUCUCUCAGCCAUCCUCCUCUCUCUCAGGCAAACCUCACUCUCAGCCAAACCUCUCUCUCAACCACACCUCUCUCAGCCGCUGCUCCUCUCAGUCGCCACUUUUCAUAGUCGUCGUCGUCAUACAGCUUCCUCUGUCCUCCAACAAUUUGCAGAUCCAGCACCAGCAGUUCGCAGAUCCAGCAAUCCACCUCUUCAUCUUAUCCUCUCUCUCUCUCUCUCUCUCUCUCUCUCUCUCUCUCUCAGGUUCACUUGGUGUUCGGAGAUGCAGCAACAAAAGAGCAAAAGAAUGGAGUUGUAAUUUUAAAUUUGAUUGUAAUUUAUUUUGUUUUAUUAUGUAUUUUUUUGUUGGGUUGUAAUUUUAAAUUGAAUAUUGGAUUGUUUUAUUAUUUUUGACAAAGAAUAGUGGUUGUUUCAA